UUUAAAAGAUUUUUUUCCUUCUCAGAUUGAACGCUGGCGGCAGGCCUAACACAUGCAAGUCGAGCGGAUGAAGAGAGCUUGCUCUCUGAUUCAGCGGCGGACGGGUGAGUAAUGCCUAGGAAUCUGCCUGGUAGUGGGGGAUAACGUUCCGAAAGGAACGCUAAUACCGCGUACGUCCUACGGGAGAAAGCAGGGGACCUUCGGGCCUUGCGCUAUCAGAUGAGCCUAGGUCGGAUUAGCUAGUUGGUGAGGUAAUGGCUCACCAAGGCGACGAUCCGUAACUGGUCUGAGAGGAUGAUCAGUCACACUGGAACUGAGACACGGUCCAGACUCCUACGGGAGGCAGCAGUGGGGAAUAUUGGACAAUGGGCGAAAGCCUGAUCCAGCCAUGCCGCGUGUGUGAAGAAGGUCUUCGGAUUGUAAAGCACUUUAAGUUGGGAGGAAGGGCAGUAAGUUAAUACCUUGCUGUUUUGACGUUACCGACAGAAUAAGCACCGGCUAACUUCGUGCCAGCAGCCGCGGUAAUACGAAGGGUGCAAGCGUUAAUCGGAAUUACUGGGCGUAAAGCGCGCGUAGGUGGUUCGUUAAGUUGGAUGUGAAAGCCCCGGGCUCAACCUGGGAACUGCAUCCAAAACUGGCGAGCUAGAGUACGGUAGUAGGGUGGU
rnacentral:rRNA from 1 species